CCUACGGGGGGCUGCAGUGGGGAAUAUUGGACAAUGGGCGCAAGCCUGAUCCAGCCAUGCCGCGUGAGUGAUGAAGGCCCUAGGGUUGUAAAGCUCUUUCGCCAGGGACGAUAAUGACGGUACCUGGAUAAGAAGCCCCGGCUAACUUCGUGCCAGCAGCCGCGGUAAUAAGAAGGGGGCUAGCGUUGUUCGGAAUCACUGGGCGUAAAGCGCACGUAGGCGGAUUUUUAAGUCAGGGGUGAAAUCCCGAGGCUCAACCUCGGAACUGCCUUUGGUACGGGGGAGCUAGAGUCCGGGAGAGGUGAGUGGAACUGCGAGUGUAGAGGGGAAAUUCGUAGAUAUUCGCAAGAACACCAGUGGCGAAGGCGGCUCACUGGCCCGGAACUGACGCUGAGGUGCGAAAGCGUGGGGAGCAAACAGGAUUAGAUACCCUAGUAGUC
rnacentral:rRNA from 1 species